AGCAGCCGCGGUAAUUCCAGCUCCAAUAGCGUAUAUUAAAGUUGUUGCAGUUAAAAAGCUCGUAGUUGAAUUUCGGGGUCUGUCCGUCGGUCGGGCUUUACGGUCCGUUACUGGUGUGAUGGGUUCCUACCUUCUGAAUAACCGGCAUGCCAUUCAGUUGGUGCGCCGGGGAAGCAGAGCUAUUACCUUGAAAAAAUUAGAGUGCUUAAAGCAGGCUAGUGCUUGAAUAGAUUAGCAUGGAAUAAUAAAAUAGGACGGCAUGGUUCUAUUUUGUUGGUUUCUAGGAUCACCGUAAUGAUUAAUAGGGAUAGUUGGGGGCAUUAGUAUUCAAUUGUCAGAGGUGAAAUUCUUGGAUUUAUUGAAGACUAACUUCUGCGAAAGCAUUUGCCAAGGAUGUUUUCAUUAAUCAAGAACGAAAGUUAGGGGAUCGAAGACGAUCAGAUACCGUCGUAGUCUUAACCAUAAACUAUGCCGACUAGGGAUCGGACGAUGUUAAUUUUUUAAUGACUCG
rnacentral:rRNA from 1 species